AUGUAUUCCUCUUUAGCACGAGUCUUGCAGUAUAUGCCCAUAUACCACCAACAAUCCACUACCAAUUCGGGUUCCAGGUAAUAAAGUUGCUACAAAUCAAGACCAUAAUAUGAAGAUGCAUAUAAAAGACUUAUAAGAAAGUCGAACAUCGUCAAGAAGAAUUUGCAUAUGAUGAAGAAGGUGUGACAGAAUACUGUGGUAUGGGGAGGGGAUCCAUCAG
rnacentral:lncRNA from 1 species